GCGGCCGGCCGAGGGCGAGGGGGCGGCGGGGCGUGGGCGAAUCGAUGUGACGUCAGGCUCGCGAGGGGCUCCGGUAGGGCGGCGGUGCUCCGGAGGGGGCUCAAGGGGUGGCCGAGGCCCGAGCCGAGCCAGUUGACGCGGAGACCGCGGAGCGCAAGGCGCCGGACGGCCACGCGAUGCACGUGGAGCGGCAACCAGUGCCGCGGCCAGAGCCCCAAACAACAACGGGGUGAACAUCACCAGCAGCAGCAGCAGCAGCAGCAGCAGCUCCAGUCCGGGACGAGCGUCGCGCGGACCCCGCGGACCCGUCAAACCACCAGACAGCCAGCUGAGCGGACAGGCAGGCAGGCAGGCAGGCAGCCAGGCAGUCGGGCAGCCCGCCGAGCAGGCAGGCAGGCAGCCGUCAGACGGGCCGACAGCCGGCCGAGCCGUACGGCCGAGCCGUACACUGUACAGGACCCCAACCCCGUCCCGCCCGUUUAUAAAUAGGCGCGCGCCGCACGGAGUCGUCACUUCGGGUCGGACUUGCUCCGCGAGCAGCCGACCGGUGCAGAGCGCCCAAGCUUCCCACAGCUGACAGGCGUCUUUUUCCUCCCCGUCUAGUGGAUAUUGUUUAUGGAUCUGGAGGAGCUCGUCAUAGCGGAGCCCCCUGUGGAGCCUAUCAGCAGCUACAGG